UGUGCUAAUACCGCAUAAUCUCUCAGGAGAAAAGCAGGGGAUCGCAAGACCUUGCGCUUUAGGAGCGGCCGAUGCCUGAUUAGCCUGUUGGUAAGGUAAAAGCUUACCAAGGCUUCGAUCAGUAGCUGGUCUGAGAGGACGACCAGCCACACUGGGACUGAGACACGGCCCAGACUCCUACGGGAGGCAGCAGUGGGGAAUUUUGGACAAUGGGGGAAACCCUGAUCCAGCCAUGCCGCGUGAGUGAAGAAGGCCUUCGGGUUGUAAAGCUCUUUCAGCCGGAACGAAACGGU
rnacentral:rRNA from 1 species